CAGCAACGCCGCGUGGAGGAUGAAGGUCUUUGGAUUGUAAACUCCUGUCAGCGGGGAAAAAGGGACCCGACCUCAUACGUCGGGGACUUGAUUGUACCCGCAGAGGAAGCCCCGGCUAACUCUGUGCCAGCAGCCGCGGUAAUACAGAGGGGGCAAGCGUUAUUCGGAAUUAUUGGGCGUAAAGGGCGCGUAGGCGGCGAUUCAAGUGACGGGUGAAAUCCCUCGGCUUAACCGAGGAACUGCCUGUCAGACUGGAUGGCUUGAGACCGGGAGAGGUGAGUGGAAUUCCCAGUGUAGCGGUGAAAUGCGUAGAUAUUGGGAGGAACACCAGUGGCGAAGGCGGCUCACUGGACCGGAACUGACGCUGAGGCGCGAAAGCGUGGGGAGCAAACAGGAUUAGAUACCCUGGUAGUCCACGCCGUAAACGAUGAGUGCUUGGUGUAGCGGGUAUCGACCCCUGCUGUGCCGAAGUCAACACAUUAAGCACUCCGCCUGGGGAGUACGGUCGCAAGACUGAAACUCAAAGGAAUUGACGG
rnacentral:rRNA from 1 species